rnacentral:rRNA from 1 species
UGGGGAAUUUUGCGCAAUGGGGGAAACCCUGACGCAGCAACGCCGCGUGAGUGAUGAAGGCCUUCGGGUCGUAAAGCUCUGUCAGAGGGGAAGAAGUGUGGGGUGGCUAAUAUCCAUUUCACUUGACGGUACCUUCAAAGGAAGCACCGGCUAACUCCGUGCCAGCAGCCGCGGUAAUACGGAGGGUGCGAGCGUUGUUCGGAAUUAUUGGGCGUAAAGCGCGUGUAGGCGGUUUUUUAAGUCUGAUGUGAAAGCCCUGGGCUCAACCCGGGAAGUGCAUUGGAAACUGGGAGACUUGAAUACGGGAGAGGGCAGUGGAAUUCCUGGUGUAGGAGUGAAAUCCGUAGAUAUCAGGAGGAACACCGGUGGCGAAGGCGGCUGCCUGGACCGAUAUUGACGCUG